rnacentral:snRNA from 1 species
GUGCUCGCUCUGGCAGCACAUAUAUUAAAAUUGGAAAGAUACAGAGAAGAUCAGCAUGGCCCCU